rnacentral:misc_RNA from 1 species
CUUGGCACUGCCACCCAGA